AGGGCUGCAAGCUUGUUUUCCUCGUUGUGUAAUCAAGCAGCCGGGAGAAAUCAAUGGCAACUGAAAGGAUCAUCGAAAACAAACCAGAAAGCCACAAACACCAAAAGAAAAAUGACCCAUUCAUGUCCAUCUUGACGUUCCAUUGUCGCCUUCUACGUUGUGUAUCCAGGUGCUUUACGGCCACCACCACCACCAGCUAUCCAGCCACAAGACAUGAUGGCUAUACAAAAUUAACAAAACAUACCAACACGAAAAGGACAAUCAUCCUCGAUCUUGAUGAAACCUUGGUUCAUUCCACGACACAAAUGCCUGGAGUUAAAUACGAUUUCAUGGUAAUGGUAAAAAUGGAAAGUGAGAUUAUGCCAAUCUUUGUGGUAAAACGUCCCGGGGUGACUGAGUUCUUGGAAAGACUAGGGGAAACCUACAAUGUAGCAGUUUUCACAGCUGGUCUGGAAGACUAUGCUUCACAGGUUUUGGACAAGCUAGACAAGAAGGGUGUGAUCUCACAGCGGCUAUAUCGAGACUCGUGCACGGAACUGAAUGGAAGAUAUGUUAAAGACUUGUCUCUGGUAGUGGGGAAAGACCUUGGAAGUGCUUUGAUUGUUGAUGACAAUCCGUCUGCUUACUCAUUACAUCCAGAGAAUGGAGUACCUAUAAAGGCUUUUGUAGAUGACCUCAAAGAUCAAGAACUUUUGAAGCUGCUGGAGUUCCUUGAAAUUUGUUACGUGUAUGAGGAUAUGAGGGAUGCAGUACAGGAUCUGCUGCCAAACCGGCUGAUGUAAUGUGCAUAUAUCUUUAUUUCCUGAUAUGUUUUAUUUGUUUAGGAGAUGGGGAGGGAGAGAUAGUAUUAGGAAUUUUCAUUUUCUUGUUCUUUUUGCAUUGAAAAAGGAUGUUUACUUCUUCAAUGUUGCACCUACAUAUGUGGGGAGCUUUUACUGAAAACAAAAUACCAAAAAAAGAAGACAAAAACACUCUUGUACAAGUAGACAUUUGUGGAAUAAGAAAAGGGUUUUAGUUUUAGCAUAUAAUUUCUCAAAUGCCUUAUGAUAUGCACAAAGAAACUUCACAAAAAGAGAUGUUAUUGUUUCUGUUUUUGUGUUUAAGCAUUUCUUCAGCCUUUACAAGUUUUUUUUUAGCUCUGCUCCAAAAUCCAAAAACUAGCAGUGACGCGAAAAAACAAUUCCAAAACGCAAUGUAAAUGCCAUUAGAACAACGAAGCCAUAUCCUUUGCUAAGACAAACACAGUACAGCCUUACAGGGAAAGAAAAGACAAAAUACCAAGUUACCAAUUAGUUAACCGUUUGAAUACUUUCGCCGAAGGCUUUAACUGUUUUUUUUUUUUUUGUGGUUUUGUUUUCGUUUACAUUUUUAACACUAUGUUAUAAAAGAAAACACCAACAUUGCUUUAGUUUUGGAAACAAUCAAUCCCUGAGUUUUCUAUUAAUAGAAAGAUGAGAGAAAGUAAAGUACUAGGUCCUUCCACAAUCGACAAAGCAUACACACUUUUGACCAUAUCGGUAACAAUGUUCCAAGGUUAAUAAGCCUACAGUGUGAUCGCAUAUUCAUCAGAGCCUAUACGAAAGAAACAUCUUUCCAAUAGAUAGAUAUAAGGAUCAAGAUGACAAGAUCCAGUAUAGUCCAAAAUUUGUGAUACCCAAUUCAGUUAAAACAACAACGUAAACGUCAUAUCUCUCUAUUAUCUUCCACCAAAGCUCCACAAGAACUACAACCUACUUAGAUCAAAUCUGUUAAAUCUUAUAGCUAACAGCGGAAGACUUGACUUGGAAGUCGCAAGGCUUCGGCUUUACUGAAGCACAAGUCGUCGAGAGCUUCACUACGACACCACCUGCAUCUAGGGAAACCCGAACACUGAGACCUGGUCCGCAUCUCGCAGCAGAGCUUUCUAAUAGUCUUGUUCAGCUUCGGAUUUGUCCGGAUCUCCAACGGCUCGCGGUUCAGAACACGAACUUCAGGUUCAGAAGACGACGAAAGCGAUGGACAUAGUAAAACGAGGCUGAAGAUAAUGACUAAAGACGAGAAGCUUGAGCUAAAUGCCGACAUUGUCACCAAAAAAAAAAAGAGCUUUGUUUUUUGUUCGAUAUUUUUGGAAAGUUUCUUCUUUUUCUUUGUUUACUCUUUUUUUUUCCUUUUUUUUUGUUUGGCCUACCAAACUACAUCGUAUAUCCACGCGUGUGGGCGCAAGUUAGCGGUAUCCUUUAAUAAAUGAAGUCACUUUGUGAGUCUACAAAAUCAAUGCGAAACUUAUCGAAAUCAUUUAGAUGCAUUGGGCUUUUUAACGUUUGGUUUCCGAAAGAAUAUUUCCACCAAAUUGAUCUAUGUGAAGAUAAUGUGAUACAAUGAGCCUUGCUUCUCAUAGAGUCAUAGGUUUGUUAUCUGUGUUUGAUUCUGCAUUCUAAGUGCAUAGUUCGUGAAACAUGAUCCUCGCCACUUUUGUAGCAAGCACAUGAUGAUGCUACAGUAGAAAAAACACUGGAAUCAUGUUGUGAAUAUUAUAUAAGUAAGAAAGUGCUUAAGAGCAUGUUUAUUGCUAACAACCUUUAGUGUUGCUUAAGUGGUUGUUAAUGAAUUUUUAAAUAUUAAAAUUUAGCUAAGAGAUAAUUUUAAGAAACACUUAAUUGUAGGGGUUUAUUGGUAGUUGCUUAACUUAAGGUGCUUAACAAUAAAAAAAUAUUAAAUUUAUUUUUAAACAUAAAUUUUUUUAAUACUUAAAAUUUAUUAAUUAAAUAAACAUAGUUAAACAUAACAUUUGAAACAUAAAUUUUAAAAUACAAUAAUAAAAGCAUGGAAACAAAGAUUACUAAAACAAACGAGACAUCGAAACUCAGUUUGUAUCUUAAUCACUUCCAAAUUUACGCCAUAUAUGCUCAACCAAAUCAUGUUUCAGUUGUUGAUGUGCUUGUCUAUCACGAAUUCUUGUUCGAACACCCAUCUGAUUGGCGAUAUUUGUAGGGAUAUCUGUUGAAUAUGUGAGAUCGACGUGUGAACUUCCGCUUCCUUCUCCUUGUUGAAAAUCAGAAACAUCGUAUAGACUGUAGCUAUCUCGUUCAUUUUCUACUACCAUAUUAUGGAGUAUGAUACAUGCUCUCAUAAUCUUUCCAAUCUUGUCUUUAUCCCAAGAAAGUGCCGGAUUUUUUACAAUGGCAAAUCGAGCUUGUAAGACUCCGAAAGCACGUUCGACAUCUUUUCGGGCAGCUUCUUGAUGUUGAGCAAAUAAAACUGCUUUAGGCCCUUGUGGAAGUGGAAUGGAUUGGAUAAAAGUUGCCCAUUUCGGAUAAAUACCAUCGGUGAGAUAGUAAGCCAGAUGAUACUCUCUUUCGUUGACCGAAAAAUUCACUUGCGGAGCUUGACCAUUUAUUAUAUCAUCAAAAACAGGUGAGCGAUCAAGAACAUUGAUAUCAUUUAAGGUACCUGGCGGUCCAAAAAACGCAUGCCAUAUCCAAAGAUCAUAUGAAACCACCGCCUCUAAAACGAUAGUCGGUUUUCCAGAACCACGAGAAUAUUGCCCUUUCCAAGCGGUGGGACAAUUCUUCCACUCCCAAUGCAUACAAUCGAUGCUUCCUAUCAUCCCGGGAAAUCCACGAAGCUCUCCAAUAUGAAGUAGACGUUGAAGAUCAUCUUCUGUUGGUUUUCUUAGGUACUGAUCGCCGAACAAAUCUAUUAUUGCUUCCACAAAAUUUUCCACACAUUGUCGAGUAGUCGUUGCACCCAGUCGGAGAUAUUCGUCGACUGCAUCAAGCGCAGAACCAUAUGCCAACACACGAAUAGCUGCUGUACACUUCUGAAGUGUAGAGAGACCAAGCCUUCCAAGACCGUCCUUCUUCUGACGAAAGAAUGGAACUUCAUUUGAGAGACGAUCAACAAUAUGCAUAAAAAAUGGUUUGUUCAUUCGAAAUCGUCGUCGGAAUAGAUUUUUUGGAUACGUUGGCGCGUCACUAAAAUAAUCAUUCCAUAAUCGGAGAUGACCUUCUUCACGGUUUCUUUCGAUAAAAACUCUUUUCUUUCUUGUCUUCUUUUCGCCUUCUUGACCACCCAAAUUCUGAAAUGCUUCAUCGAAUGCGUCAUCGAAAGUUUGAUCAAAAAAUUGAUCGAAAGUUUCAUCCAUUGACUCCUCGAAAUUGUUAUGAGAAGAAGAUGCCAUGGGAUGAAAAUGAAUUUUUAUAAGUUGACAGAAUGUGUCAAUGAAUUAUACAAAAACAAGAUCAGCUAAGCAUUUGUUAAGCAACAACAUGAACAUCAAUAUCAUAGAACAAGAUCAAUUAAGAACAACAACAACAAGAACGAUCACAUUAAUCCGGUUACAGAACAACAGCAAAUAAGAACAACAACAACUAAGCAAAACAUAACAAGAACAUCAUCCGCUUACAAAAAGAAAUAGAACAACAACAACUAAGCAAAACAUAGCAAGAGAACAAGCCAACUAGAGUCAGAAGAAUUUGUUGAUGAGAUUUUUCUUGAGGACUUCCUCGUACUCAGCCAAAGGUUCAUUUUUCCCAAUAAGACUCUCAAGCAUUCUCAUCUUAGACAAGCGUUCUUUAGCUUCCAAAUCUUUCUGUUUGAUUGUCCACAUAUUCUCAAACUUAAGCAGAGUCUUAUCAUCAACAGCCGUCUGCUUCCCACUCGCCUUGGAGGCUUUAACACCUGGUGGACGCUUCUUAGAAUCGGCUUGAGAUGUUGAUGUAUCUGCACCAUCAGCGUCACAUCUUCUUUUUUUAGAGGUUCCUUCGUUCUUAGCAGAUGAAAGCUCACACCACUUCUGAUCGUUCCUCAACUCCUUCCAAGCAUGUUCAAGGAGGAAUUUCUUCUUGUGGUUGUUGUAGAAGAUGUGGUGGGCUUGUUUGAGAACAUCAUUGUCGUUUUGACCACUUGUUUUCUCUCUGGUCGCAGCUUCAAAUGCUCCACAAAAUUUACAAACCAGAUCAUUGAUCUUCUGCCAACGAUUCUUACAGUGACGUGCCUCCCUCUUCUCACUGCCCGCAUUCUGAGGACUAGCAUUGUAGUACGCAGCAAUUCUUGUCCAGAAUGUAUUAGACCUUUGCUCAUUCCCUACUACUGCAUCUUUGCUGGUGUUUAACCAUGAGCUGAUUAGCAGCACAUCGUCUCCUGGCGACCACGCUCUUCUUUCUUUACGAGGGCCUUGAGUUUCUGCACCAAAGUUUGAAUCCUCGGUUGCUUGAUUGCCAUAGAAGGGAACUUGCGGUGAAGUCUCAGUGCCAAAGGCAGGAUUUUGUUGACUGCUAAGCAGAUCAACAAAGUUGUUUGUUGCAGUAAACGGAUUAAAAUCCAUGGAUGAGUUUAAAGACUAGAGAAAUAAGAGAUAAGAGAUAAGAGAAAUAACAGGGGAAGGAAAGAGUUUUAAAGAAGGAAGAGAGAGUAGAGAAGUAAAGGAUAGCAUUCAACACUCAAAACAACUAACCACAACCAGAUUCGAGUUGACAUGUUUCUACCGUGAAUUAAUUACCAUUUCACAACAACAAUCUAUGACAAAGCAGUCAUUUAUUAUCGACAAAUCAAUUCAUUAUCAAAGCCUAAGCCAGUCAUUUAACUCUCUGUCUCAACCAUAACCAAUCCUAAUUUAUUACACGGGUUCAAUGCUCCACCCUAAGCCAGUCAUUUAACAUUUACCUACCUAAUUCAACCCUAAAGCUUUCAUUGGCUCUAAAAGAAGAUAAACAUUUACCUGUUUAUUACACGGGUUCAAUGCUCCACCAUAUGCACUCCUCUGCUUUGAAGAUCCUUCCUCGUUUGCCUCUUGAUCCACGCAGCUCAACAGAUACACAAACAGAAGCAAAUAACAAAUGAGAAACGACAAUCAAGGCCAACGAGACCACAGUCCUAAAAACGUUCACUUUAUAUCAUAAACGACCAACGAAUGGAACACAAAGUUCUUUAAAAAACGUUCAAUCCAUUUCGAAAACAAACACAAGAGACAAAGACAUAUAUUUAUCAAUCUGAAGAUAUAUGUUUUACCUGUUUUGCGGUUGUCUUCUUUAACCAACCUUCAUGUCUGUUGAUAUCUUAAGAAACACAAACAGAGACAAACAAAAAUUAAUCACUAGUAACCGAGACAACAAACAAAUCAAAUAACAAUGAAGGAUUCAGACAUAAAAAGAAUGAUACAAACGUUUACCUAUCGAUUUGAUUUCCUCGCAGUCAGCCGAGGAGAUCCACCAAGUGAGAGAACAGAGGUGGAGUCUUCAUCGUCGGGGGAAGAUCACGAGACAGAGGCUGGCUCUUCAUCGACGGGGGAAGAACACGACAGAAACGGGGAGUCAUCGAGGAGAGAAAGAGAGAAGCGGAGUCCUCGAGAUUUCACCACAACGAGGCGGAGUCAUCGACGGAGAGAAUCGUGAAACGUGGAGCCGCCGAGAGAGAGAAAGAGAGAAGUGGAGCCGUCGACUUUAACGGAAAACGACGCGGAUACCUCGAAGAUUCAAUCGACAAACACGGAGUCGUCGAGGGAGAGAAAGAGACCUGCGGAGUCAUCGAGGGAAAGUGGAAACAGAGUCGUCGAGGGAGAAAGAGAAAGACGCGUACAAUGACACGUGUCCCAUAACAUACGGCGCUUGUGGAGCUUAAUUAAGCAUCGCCUCCUUGCUUAAUACAUUAUUUUCUUUUUUUUUUAAUCCGAAAAACAUUAAACACCCCCUCUAAGCACUUGCGAUAAACGUGCUCUUAUAUGGAUUUAAGCUCUUGAAGAUUCUUUCAAAGUUAUUAGAUAUUAAAAAAACUCGAAUAAUCUAGACAAAUCAUACAAGUAAUACUAAUAGAAAGACAUAACUAGUCCGAAAAAUUAACAAAAAGACAGACAUGUGAAAUCAGACAAAGGUGUUAGUUUCCUACGUGGAUUUUAAUUACUUUGCACCGAGGAUUAUUACAUUUCCAUGCAAAAUUUUGGGAAACUAGUAAUGAUAUUAGAUUCGAAUAAAUGAUUUUUCACUGUAACUUUUUUGGGUACGUAAUACAUUGUAAAUUCUUGUCAUAUAUGUACUUAAUACAUAUACAUACACUGAGUUUUUUGACAAAAAAAAACACAUACAUAUCUGCUUGUAUCUACUACAUGAUUUUGUAAAUCGUCCUUUAGAUGAAAAGCUUAUCCAUUAGUUUGUUUUAGCUGCUAUCUCUUGUAACCUAGAGCCGGUGUUAUUUCGGAGGAUCGGAAUCGCUGUUUGUUCAGAUCCUCUUUUUUGUUUUGUGAAAUGAAAUAAUGUUUAAAAAAUAAAAAAAAUUCUGCAAUAUAGUUCUCAUAAGUGCACUGACUCCGACAAUCUAUUGAAAUCUUGGCUUUAAGACACCAUAAGAAACUAUCUAUUCUUUAUAUGUUCUAUUGGCUAAUUCGAUCGAUUUCAGUAAGAAUUCAUUUAGUGCUAAAGGUUAUAUUAGGUAUCAAAUUGUCUAAUCUGAAUUUGAAAUGUCUUUUGAAUAAUGCGAAGAAUAACCAUAUUGUCUAUUAUUAUACUACUAUGUUAAUUGUAUAUGCCAAAAUGUAUAUACCAAAAUUCAAAUCCAGACUAUUCAAAUAAUAGCAGUUUUAUUUCAGCAGGAAUCAAACAAAAGACAUAUAAUUAACUUUUAUCAUUAGGCUGCGACUAGUUAGUUAAAAAGUUUAUUUGUUUCACGAAAUAAGAAAGUUAUUAAAAGAUUCAAGAACUUAGAUCCGAGAGCUAGGCGGAGAAGCACGAGAGCUAAGACCAUCCGCAUUAGCGGUUUAAGAGAGGUUCGUGGGCUCGAAAUCUUAGGCCCGUUGGUUUAAAAAAAAAAGAAAAAUUCGAUAAGUUUGAUGAAACGGGCCUUGCGCAUGAACCCGUAAGGGGCGGAUGUUGCCACGCGGCGUACGCUGGUUGGUCAAGCGUUCCGCGUUGACGAGGAGGAAAGUCGGGCCACGUCUUGUUUCUUCUCAUUUUCCCCUUUCUCUGAAAAACUAGGGUUUCACCGUGAGAGGCGACUUAUCGUGCGACGACGAUUCCCGGCGUUUUUCUCGACGUAAUCGACGACGUCCUCUUCUCUCCAUCAGCGUAGAUGGAUCCGGAAGAAGAUAGAAGACAUUCAAAGAAGCAACAUGAACACAUCAACAUGUUAAGUUUCGUGGCGGAUUCUGAGUACGGUAUUCCUAAAAGGUGUCCGUGUGGUGGGAGACUCAUAAACGAGGUGCGCGGGGAGGAGGACUACGACACUCUUCCUGGGAAGCGGUUCUUCACCUGCAGAAACUACGAGGCUGAUGGGCUCCAUUAUCGUCAGCCUUGGGUGAUAGGUGUGCAGGAGGAGCUCGAGAGGCUAACUAAACGGGUGGAAGAGGCUGAGGAGGUGAUGCUGGGGGUGUCCACUCUUAGUAAACGGUUUGAGAGACUUGAGGAACAGGUUAAUUCACUCAAUGAGGCUGUCUAUGACCUCACUGUGCAGGUCCAUUCCCUCGAGAAGGUCUGCUUCGAUUGACAAUGAAAGGUCACGGGUUGGAGGUGACAGUGUUGCAGGUCACGGGUUGGAAGUUUAGGUUGUUGCAGGUCACGGGUUAUGUUUCUUUCUACACUGCAGGUCAAUCAUGUACUAUGUCUAUGUAUUUUGCUAUUGUUGUAACUCUGAACUUGGUUCACGGAUGUACUGAACUUGAUUCACGGAUGUACUAUGUUGUAACUC